GGCCCGCACAAGCGGUGGAGUAUGUGGUUUAAUUCGAAGCAACGCGCAGAACCUUACCCAGCCUUGACAUCUUCGGAAUCCCUGCGAAAUCAGGGAGUGCCUCCUUACGGAGGAAUCGAAUGACAGGUGCUGCAUGGCUGUCGUCAGCUCGUGUCGUGAGAUGUUCGGUUAAGUCCGGCAACGAGCGCAACCCCUAUCGUUAGUUGCUACCAGUUCGGCUGGGCACUCUAGCGAGACUCCCGGUGUUAAACCGGCGGAAGAUGGGGAUGACGUCAAGUCCUCAUGGCCCUUAUGGCUGGGGCUACACACGUACUACAAUGGUGACUACAGAGGGCAGCGAGACCGCAAGGUGGAGCCAAUCCCAAAAAGGUCGCCUCAGUUCGGAUUGGAGUCUGCAACUCGACUCCAUGAAGUUGGAAUCGCUAGUAAUCG
rnacentral:rRNA from 1 species